AGCAGCCGCGGUAAUUCCAGCUCCAAUAGCGUAUAUUAAAAGUUGUUGCAGUUAAAAAAGCUCGUAGUUGAAUUUCGGGAUUGACACAUCGGUCGUGCCUUAAGGGGUAUGAACUGGUGUAGUCAAUUUCUCACCUUCUGGAGAACCGCAAUGCCCUUAAUUGGGUGUCGCGGGGAACCAGGACCUUUACUUUGAAAAAAUUAGAGUGUUUAAAGCAGGCUCACGCUUGAAUACAUUAGCAUGGAAUAAUGAAAUAGGACGUUUGGUUCUAUUUUGUUGGUUUCUAGGAUCGACGUAAUGAUUAAUAGGGAUAGUUGGGGGCAUUAGUAUUCAAUUGUCAGAGGUGAAAUUCUUGGAUUUAUUGAAGACUAACUACUGCGAAAGCAUUUGCCAAGGAUGUUUUCAUUAAUCAAGAACGAAAGUUNGGGGAUCNAAGACGAUCAGAUACCGUCGUAGUCUUAACCAUAAACUAUGCCGACUAGGGAUCGGAUGAUGUUAAUUUUUUAAUGACUCAUUCGGC
rnacentral:rRNA from 1 species